rnacentral:rRNA from 1 species
UACGAAGGGGGCUAGCGUUGCUCGGAAUCACUGGGCGUAAAGGGUGCGUAGGCGGGUCUUUAAGUCAGGGGUGAAAUCCUGGAGCUCAACUCCAGAACUGCCUUUGAUACUGAGGGUCUUGAGUUCGGGAGAGGUGAGUGGAACUGCGAGUGUAGAGGUGAAAUUCGUAGAUAUUCGCAAGAACACCAGUGGCGAAGGCGGCUCACUGGCCCGAUACUGACGCUGAUGCACGAAGGCCAGGGGAGCAAACGGG